GGUCUCGUAGCUCAGCUGGUAGACCGUGCGCGUACAAAACGUUGGCGGCGUCCAUGCGUGGGUUCGAAUCCCACCGAGGCUA
rnacentral:tRNA from 1 species